rnacentral:rRNA from 1 species
GUGCCAGCCGCCGCGGUAAUACGAAGGGUGCAAGCGUUAGUCGGAAUUACUGGGCGUAAAGCGUGCGUAGGUGGUUUCUUAAGUCGGAUGUGAAAGCCCUGGGCUCAACCUGGGAAUGGCACUCGAUACUGGGAAGCUAGAGUGCGGUAGAGGAGGGUGGAAUUCCCGGUGUAGCGGUGAAAUGCGUAGAGAUCGGGAGGAACAUCAGUGGCGAAGGCGACCCUCUGGACCAGCACUGACGCUGAGGCACGAAAGCGUGGGGAGCAAACAGGAUUAGAAACCCCCGUAGUCC